GACAGAGGGUGCAAACGUUGUUCGGAAUUACUGGGCGUAAAGCGCGUGUAGGCGGCUAUGUAAGUCGGGCGUGAAAUCCCACGGCUCAACCGUGGAAGUGCACUCGAAACUGCAUAGCUAGAGUCCUGGAGAGGAAGGUGGAAUGCUUGGUGUAGAGGUGAAAUUCGUAGAUAUCAGGAGGAACACCAAUGGCGAAGGCAGCUCGCUGGGACGGUACUGACGCUGAGACGCGAAAGCGUGGGGAGCAAACAGG
rnacentral:rRNA from 1 species